rnacentral:tRNA from 1 species
CGAAAAUGUAGUUUAAUUAAAAUACUAGCAUUGGAAGCUAGAGCUUGGGUUGUAAUCCCACAUUUCGA